UGCAGUGACACGGGGUGCCAUGAUUUCUGGCUGAGAGAACACCCGUUGAACCUGAUCUAGUUCGAACUAGCGAAGGGAUGUUGCAGGUGCUUCUU
rnacentral:ncRNA from 1 species